GUGAAUUGAAUAUGUUAGCGGACCUCUUCGGAGUCCCUAGCAUCAAAUCAUAUCCAUAACACCUGUGAGCUGUAAGGCUGUCUUGAAAACGAAACGUGAUUAGAGCGCCUGCCCAUUUUAUACAAACAUUAAAGUAACAAACGUAGUCUUAUUAUAAUCUAAUA
rnacentral:misc_RNA from 1 species